rnacentral:sRNA from 1 species
AGUUUCUAAGGAUCAUGUCUGCGAGCCAGGAUUCCCGAGUAACUGGAAUGAGAUUGUUGACAGCUUUGAUGACAUGAACCUCUCGGAGUCCCUUCUCCGUGGUAUCUACGCCUAUGGUUUUGAGAAGCCCUCUGCCAUCCAGCAGCGAGCCAUUCUACCUUGUAUCAAGGGUGAGACCUCUCAGUCCCAGAAGACAUUGUGGACUGUCCCUGACCUGGGUAGAGUGGCAUCUGGUUGGUGAUGCCCAUCUCAUAUCAGCCAGGGACAAAGCAACUCCUUGUUCAUCCCAGCUUGGCUUUUGAUCCGUGCCCAUGCCUGGUUCAUGCCUUGGACACAUAGUUUUCCUUUAAAGAGGUGGUAUUGUAGCCAGCUUAUACUUGCAUCUACAGCCAUGUUUCUAGUCCAGCUUGGUGUGCAAUACUAGAUGAGUUAAUAACUGGUCCUUGUUUCUGAUCUGGUUCCCAUUGUGUAACUGUUGAUUGGGAAGGUAGUUUGUGAGCCAUGAAAUGCUUGGUUCAUUGGUUGCUUAUUGACCUCAUUAACCUAGGACUUGAAUAUCCCAAAGGG